rnacentral:rRNA from 1 species
UGAGAAAAAACAACUACACGGGACUCAUUCCGAUUGCGGGGCCUUGACAAAGUACACUUCAAAUUUGUUAACGAGGACCAAACAGAGGGCCAGUAUGGUGCCAGCAGCUACAGUAAUUCCAGCGCCGGUAGCAGAUAUUAAAGUUGUUGUGCUUAAAAAGCUUGUAGUCUGAACUUGGGUUCGUGGUUGCGUUUAUGCACCAGUUUUGGCUUCAGUCAUCUGUGCACAUUCCCAGCCCUUUCUGCCAGCGUCAACUGCUUACACAUCCCCCAUACAGUCCUGCCAAUGAAGUUAUGUGGGGCAGUAGUAAGUGUCCGGUGUGGGGCUCCUGCGAGUGGUAUUGAUGACAAUGGGUCUUUGGCAUGCGAAAAAAGACAGUACAGUUCACUGUUGCAUCAUCAUCACUCUUUCUUCCUGCCACACGUUCACCUCCACUCCAGUUUCCUCUGGCCAUACUCUACCUACCUCCAUCUUUGCAUCCAUUUUACAUGUGUGUGUGGUUGGCGAUUUCUCCUUCAAGGGUGCUCUUGAGCAAGUGUCUGCAGCGGCCAGUACGUGCACUUUGAAAAAAUUAGAUUAGGGUGGGCUGUUCAAGCUUGCUUACAAUAAGCAUGGAAUGAUGGAAGAGGGCCUCAUCUACGUCUGUUGGUCUGUCUACAGUGAGGCAAUAAUCAAAGGGAGCAGUUAGGGCCUCUUGUAUUACAACAUUAGAGGUGAAAAUCUUGGAUUGUCACAAGACAAACUGCAGUGAUGGCAUAUGGCAAGCAUGUUUUUUCUCAAUCAAGAGUGAAGGUCAGGGGUUCAGAUACCAUCAUAGUUCCGAUUGUAAAUGAUGCUGACCAGCAAUCCACUGGUGUUCACUUCCAUGACUUAGCGGGUAGCCUGUGGGAAACCAGAGUUCAGUUCCAGGGGGAGUAUUAUUGCAAAGCUGAAACUUAAAGGAAAUGACGGAAGGGCACCACUGUGGCUUAAUUUGAUUCAACAUGGGAAAACUCACCUGGUCAGGUAACUGAUAGGGUUGACAGAUCGAUAGCUCUUUCUCGAUUUGGUGGGUGGUGGUGGUACAUGGCCAUUCUUUGUUGGUGGAGUGAUCCAUCUGGUUGAUUCUGAUAAUGAACGAGACUCUAGCCUAACUAGUGUGCUGAUGUGUGUUUAUUCAACGGUGGGCUUUGCGUUUAUUGCAUCACCCAGGUCUGGGUUGUUUUUCUCAUGCACUACUUAGAGGGACGAGUGGUAGAAAGCCAUACAAGGUGGAGCAAUAACAUGUCUGUGAUGCCUUUAGAUGUCCAGGGUCACACAAGCACUACACUGGCAGUAUCAGUGGGGACUUCAUCGCGGCCUGAGGGGGUUUAGAAAUAUCUUAAUGAUUUCCAGUGAUAAGGAUUGGGGCUUGUAACCAAUUCCCAGUAGGUGUGGGUCAACAACCCCUGACCUUUAUAUACAUCUCCCGUUGAAUGAUCCGGUGAGGUCCUAUGAUUGCUCUGGUUGCUGGCACCGCUGGGCAGUGUGCACAUGGCACAGUGGUGGAUGUGCGCUUUGCUGUCACCAUUCACUAUUUCCUACAAAUGUUGAACUCAGUGUUCGAUGUCUGGUGAAGAGGUUCGAACCCGAUCGUUUAGAGGAAGUAAAAGUUGUAACAAGGUUUCCGUAGGUGAACCUGCCAAAGGAUCAUU